CGAAGGCUCUCUCCUCCUUUGCUUUUCCAGCAAGAGCCCCAGUACUGGGUUGCCAUGGCGACGGCGAAUCCAACCAGGCCGGGCCCAGCGACGCUAGGAAACUGCCAUGGCGGGGAAGCCGCUCCGAGUCGCCCCUGAGCCUAGAUGGGUCGUGAGCAUCGUCAUUCCAGACCAGGCUGGGCAGAUUCUGCCCGGAGACUGAGAUUGUACAUCAGGCCCACAGCUGCGCGGCGCAUUAGGAGACGGCGCCAUCAAUAACGAGGCUUCUGCGGAGCGAACAGAAUACAUGACAUACAUGAUGGGGAUUCAACUGAAAAAUUUUCAGACAUCUCUAUUCUUUUAUCUUCUCGGAGGGGGGGCCCUUUUGCCUCUCUCUUGAGUCUCGGCGAACUCUGGAGAAAGUAAAAGCCAAACCUGCCUGCUCUCGCCCGUUCUCCUGAAGGCUGCACACCCGCCCCUCCCGCCCCCAGACUGGGGAGCUCACGGGUCCAGUGAUUGCAUAGCACGGACGCCGCUGGAAACAUCUUCGAGAAUUCAUUAGGAUUGCACAACGAGAUUUUAGUCGAGGAAAAGAUCAGUUCCCUCAGGCCACUGGAAUGGAUCGUUAAAGUAGGGCAACAAGUGUUCUGCCGCAUGACACUUUUUCGAAAAUGCGAGUUGGUGAGAAAGAAUUCAGGAGAUACCUUUGUAGCGAAUGGCACCAACCGCAGUGAGGGUCUGUGGCUGUUAAACACUCCGAACAGGAUUUAUGUUUAUUGCAGUUUGCAACACGAAUUCUCCUCACCUAAAAGGAAAGAGGACAAUGGUUCAGAUGGAAUUAUAAGCAACAGCAGGAAAACUACAACACCUUAUCUAAUGAAGGGCCAAAAAGAGCCUAUUUAUCAACUUGAACUCAACACCUCCAUAUUGGCACUGGGCAGCGGGUCUCAAGUUCUAGGACAUGAAGUCAUUGUAUCACAAUCACCUGGGGAGCUUUUGACAGUGCGUAUUCCCAGGCCUCUGCCGCAGAGACUCUGGCUAAGUCUGGGGGCGCAGCCUAGGAAUGUGUAUUUUUUCAUUUAAAAGAUUUUUUUCUUAAAGACACAGGGUCUCACUACGUUGCCCAGGCUGGUUUUGAACUUCUGGGCUCAAAGCACUCCUCCCAAAAGUGCUGAGGUUGCAGGCAUGCACCACUGUGUCUGGCCAGGAAUCUGUAUUUUAAGAGCUCUCUCUCAGAUUAUGCAAACAAUGCUCUCCAUAAUCCUGAGGACAGGACAAGAGGAAGUUUUAUUUUUCACCACAAAGGUCCCAAAUGUGCUACACAGAGGGGUGAGGGAUUUCUGCUUCCGUGGCCCCUGGAGUCUCAUCUCUCUCAGAUGACUAAAGGACAGGAACGAAGUGCUUCGUGCUGCAUCCUGCCUUCAACGACAGGAAACUGAGUUUGUUACACAAAUCUCUGGAAGAUAUGGAGCUAGGAAGAGCCGUUGCCGUCUGCAGCUACUGAACACAGUGUGAUAGCACACUUUAUCUGCCAGAGCUCAGUUCCCAACUGUACUAGGGUUUUUAAAGGCACAUUGAAGUUGCAGCCAGCAAACUUCAGUAAGCAACACAGCAACUCCUAAAAUCGCCCUAUUUGGGGAGGGGGAGGUAGCCACGCGGAGGCUAAGACUUAUUAACUUCAUUAUAUUAUUGCCAACAGUGUUUAUGUCUUUCAAUUUAUGUCUUAUUAAAUAUUCAUUAUUUUUCAACCCACCAAGUUUCAUUAACAUCUAAACUAAAUGGAUUAUGGGCUAAAUUGAUUUCUGAAGCCUUUAAAGUGCCAUCUAUAUUUCUUUGUUGAGGUUGCGCUGCAAGGAAAAGAUAAGCUAGCCAGGAUUUGUCCAAUGCCCUGAUCACUUUUCAAGGAAAAGAUGUCAUAACCUAAGAGAAGGCAAUGUUUUUGCAUAAAAUAUUCUAUAGUGAACUCGGUUUAAGAAGAUUUAGGGAAAGCUCAUUAGAGUGUUUUUUUCCCUUGUUGAAAGAUACUUUUCAUGCAAUAUGGGAAGAUGAGGAGCUGUCCUGUGAAAAUUGAAGUUAAGGAAAAAAAAUUCUCUGUGGGUCUAAGGUUGGAACAAUAGAUCGCUGUUUAGAUAAGGAAGCCUCAUGACUAUGAGCAGGAAAAGAAAAGUCGGAUGACCUUUAGGAUUAAAAAAAUAAGUAAAACCAUGCCACACAUCUUGCUUUAAAAUAAAUCCAGAAUUGUUCAAACGUAAGAUCAGCUGACCAUGCCUGUUAUUUUUAUUAAAUAUUUGAACACUGCAGAGAGGCUAACGCGGAGAAUAGGGCAU